UAGGGAAUAUUGGGCAAUGGAGGGAACUCUGACCCAGCCAUGCCGCGUGCAGGAUGAAGGCGUUAUGCGUUGUAAACUGCUUUUAUAUAGGAAGAAAUAGUCCUUGCGAGGAAAGUUGACGGUACUAUAUGAAUAAGCACCGGCUAACUCCGUGCCAGCAGCCGCGGUAAUACGGAGGGUGCAAGCGUUGUCCGGAUUUAUUGGGUUUAAAGGGUGCGUAGGCGGUUUAUUAAGUCAGUGGUGAAAGACGGUCGCUCAACGAUUGCAGUGCCAUUGAUACUGGUAGACUUGAGUAUGAUUGAGGUAGCUGGAAUGGAUAGUGUAGCGGUGAAAUGCAUAGAUAUUAUCCAGAACACCAAUUGCGUAGGCAAGUUACUAAGUCAUAACUGACGCUGAGGCACGAAAGUGUGGGUAUCAAACAGGAUUAGAUACCCCAGUAGUCCCUGAGCGGGCUGGCAAGGCGCAU
rnacentral:rRNA from 1 species